CUCAAGAACUACGAAAGUAUGACGGGGCCCGCACAAGCGGUGGAGCACGUGGUUUAAUUCGAUGCAACGCGAAGAACCUUACCUGGUCUUGACAUCCCGGAGACCCUUAGGAAACUAGGGGGUGCUUCCAUCUGGAAGAAUCUGGAGACAGGUGCUGCAUGGCUGUCGUCAGCUCGUGUCGUGAGAUGUUGGGUUAAGUCCCGCAACGAGCGCAACCCUUGCCUUUAGUUGCCAGCAGUUCGGCUGGGCACUCUAAAGGGACUGCCGGUGUUAAACCGGAGGAAGGUGGGGAUGACGUCAAGUCCUCAUGGCCUUUACGGCCUGGGCUACACACGUGCUACAAUGGUCGGUACAAAGGGUUGCCAAGCCGCGAGGUGGAGCUAAUCCCAUAAAACCGAUCGUAGUCCGGAUCGCAGUCUGCAACUCGACUGCGUGAAGUCGGAAUCGCUAGUAAUCGUGAAUCAGAAUGUCACGGUGAAUACGUUCCCGGGCCUU
rnacentral:rRNA from 1 species